rnacentral:rRNA from 1 species
AGAGUUUGAUUAUGGCUCAGGAUGAACGCUGGCGGCGUGCUUAACACAUGCAAGUCGAACGGGAUCGGCUGGAGCUUGCUCCGGCCGUGAGAGUGGCGAACGGGUGAGUAAUGCGUGACCGACCUGCCCCAUACACCGGAAUAGCUCCUGGAAACGGGUGGUAAUGCCGGAUGCUCCGACAUGACGCAUGUCGUGUCGGGAAAGAUUCUAUCGGUAUGGGAUGGGGUCGCGUCCUAUCAGCUUGAUGGCGGGGUAACGGCCCACCAUGGCUUCGACGGGUAGCCGGCCUGAGAGGGCGACCGGCCACAUUGGGACUGAGAUACGGCCCAG